rnacentral:rRNA from 1 species
UGGGGAAUUUUGGACAAUGGACGCAAGUCUGAUCCAGCCAUUCCGCGUGCAGGAUGAAGGCCCUCGGGUUGUAAACUGCUUUUGUACGGAACGAAAAGGUUUCUAUUAAUACUAGGAGCUCAUGACGGUACCGUAAGAAUAAGCACCGGCUAACUACGUGCCAGCAGCCGCGGUAAUACGUAGGGUGCAAGCGUUAAUCGGAAUUACUGGGCGUAAAGCGUGCGCAGGCGGUUUUAUCAAACAGAUGGU